rnacentral:rRNA from 1 species
GAAUUCGAUUCGGUGUGACAAGGCCCGGGAACGUAUUCACCGCGGCGUGCUGAUCCGCGAUUACUAGCGAUUCCAACUUCAUGAAGGCGAGUUGCAGCCUUCAAUCCGAACUGAGCGCGCGUUUAAGAGAUUGGCUUACUCUCACGAGUUCGCUGCUCGCUGUCGCGCGCAUUGUAGCACGUGUGUAGCCCUGGACGUAAGGGCCAUGCUGACUUGACGUCAUCCCCACCUUCCUCCGGCUUCUCACCGGCGGUCUCGUGUGAGAGAUCUUGUGGACCAACACACGACAAGGGUUGCGCUCGUUGCGGGACUUAACCCAACACCUCACGGCACGAGCUGACGACAGCCAUGCAGCACCUGUGUUGCGGCCGGGUUGCCCCGGAGCCUACUUUCGUAGGAUUUCCGCACAUGUCAAGCCCAGGUAAGGUUCUUCGCGUUAAUCACUA